UACGGAGGGUGCAAACGUUGCUCGGAAUCAUUGGGCGUAAAGCGCACGUAGGCGGACCGCUAAGUCGGAUGUGAAAGCCCUCGGCUUAACCGAGGAAGUGCAUUCGAAACUGACGGUCUUGAGUAUGGAAGAGGGUCGCGGAAUUCCCGGUGUAGAGGUGAAAUUCGUAGAUAUCGGGAGGAACACCAGUGGCGAAGGCGGCGACCUGGGCCAAUACUGACGGCUGAGGUGCGAAAGCGUGGGGAGCAAACAGG
rnacentral:rRNA from 1 species